rnacentral:rRNA from 1 species
UACGUAGGUGACAAGCGUUGUCCGGAUUUACUGGGCGUAAAGAGCGCGCAGGCGGUCGUUCAAGUCGAGUGUGAAAGCCCCCGGCUCAACUGGGGAGGGUCAUUCGAUACUGAUCGACUCGAAGGCAGGAGAGGGUAGUGGAAUUCCCGGUGUAGUGGUGAAAUGCGUAGAUAUCGGGAGGAACACCAGUGGCGAAGGCGACUACCUGGCCUGUUCUUGAUGCUGAGGCGCGAAAGCGUGGGGAGCGAACGGG